rnacentral:rRNA from 1 species
UAGGAAUUUUGCGCAAUGGGGGAAACCCUGACGCAGCAAUGCCGCGUGAGUGAAGAAGGCCUUCGGGUUGUAAAGCUCUUUUAUUCGGAAAGAAACAAAUGACGGUACCGAAAGAAUAAGCACCGGCUAACUCUGUGCCAGCAGCCGCGGUAAUACAGAGGGUGCAAGCGUUAUUCGGAAUUACUGGGCGUAAAGCGCAUGUAGGUGGUUUAGUAAGUCUGGUGUGAAAUCCCUCGACUCAAUCGAGGAAGUGCAUUGGAUACUGCUAGACUAGAGUAUGGGAGAGGUGAGUGGAAUUCCAGGUGUAGAGGUGAAAUUCGUAGAUAUCUGGAGGAACAACAGAGGCGAAGGCGGCUCACUGGACCAUUACUGACACUGAGAUGCGAAAGCGUGGGGAGCAAAC